UACGGAGGGUGCAAGCGUUAUCCGGAUUCACUGGGUUUAAAGGGUGCGUAGGUGGGCAGGUAAGUCAGUGGUGAAAUCUCCGGGCUUAACCCGGAACUGCCGUUGAUACUAUCUGUCUUGAAUGUAGUGGAGGUGAGCGGAAUAUGUCAUGUAGCGGUGAAAUGCUUAGAUAUGACAUAGAAACAUCGAUUGCGAAGGCAGCUCGCUAACACUAUUAUUGACACUGAGGCACGAAAAGCGUGGGGAUCAAACAGG
rnacentral:rRNA from 1 species